GGAAGCCGGUGCAAGUCCGGCACGGUCGCGCCACUGUGUGCCGUCGCUUCGCAAGAGGCGAGGGCGAGUCAGAC
rnacentral:ncRNA from 2 species